ACUAAUGGCCGAUUAGAGAAAUUCAUUACUGUUAUUAUUGCUGGUACCAUUUUUUAAAAAGACAGAGAGAGGUUUGAAUUAUAACUAUCUGGCAUAUAAAUGUACUGUGAUAGUUUUAAACCUCAUAGAGUUAAGAAAUGGUAUCUCAUAAAGCUUUAAAAACUUGGAACGUACAAAGUUUCUUUUAAAGAGGUGAAUAGUAUUAAAAAAAAUUUAGAAGCGUUCGAAAUAUGUUGUUAUAUAAGCGAAUGAUGAAGAUAUUGUGGAUAGAGAAGGUUAGGAAUGAGGAAGAAUGGGAGAACAGAAGUCGUUAUGGAGAUCAAUAAGAAGUAGUCGAAAUAGGUUGGUAGGACAGGCAUGAAAAGCUAGUCAGAGACAUAUUAGAAGCGGAAACAGGUGUUAAGAGGGUUUUAGGGAAAUCCGAUGAUUACUUCAGGAUGGGGAAAUGUAGAGGUGCGUGCCCAACCAGUCUUAGAACGAAUUCAAAAGGCAUACAGAUACCAAGAACUUAUAAAUUGUGUCUUUGUUUCACGAUCCCUGGAUUGCAAUAUAAAAAUUUAUUAAGGAAAGGGCCCAGACGACUGGAAAAUUUGGCUUUGUGGUAGAACACAAAAAAGCUCAAACCCCAACGUCUAAGCAAGACGUUGACCGUCGUGUUUUAGCGUCGGGGUUGAAGCUAUUUAGUGUUCCAAAGUAACGGCCAUCUUACCGAUUAAAAGCAGAUUUUCUUUAGAAUGUGCCUCAAACAUUUUUGGAACAUGGUAGGUAACACAUAAUUUUCAUUUGAGGUUUUUCAGUUGCGCUGCUUCCGCGGCUCGUAGCUCAUGCGCUUUCAAGUUGAUUGUGCCCACCACCUGUGGAGAGCCGAAAACACACUUCUCCAAAACGAUCCGUUGUUGGCGGUUUUCCUCGACGCGUUAUCAGAAGUGUCGCGACGCUUAGCGUAUCUGCUUCGGUCUAUUUUCUCCUCGCAUCGUUAGCGUAUGUGCGCGAUUCAUUCAAACAACAUCAAACCAAAACAGAAAACAUUUUUAACAAAAUAACUAACGUCAUCGGACGAAGGUGAGAACAGAAACUAUCUUUCACGUGUAUCAUCUUUCUAAUAUAUUUUCUUGUGUUUCUUGUGUUUCUUCCUUCAUCUGUUUCAUGUUAUUUACUUUAGAAAAUUUUUGUUCGAAUAAGUGAAGUGACUUGAUCGAAAUGAAUUAUACUCGACGGAAUAUAAAAUAAUGUAAGUUUGAAAUACAAAUAUUGUAAUUACCGAUAAAAAAUUUUGAAUGAAAAAAUCAUUUGGCAAGUUUCAUAACGAUUAUUUCAUCUCCAAUUUAAAAAUGCUGUUAUUGGUGAAACAAUUGUCAGAAAUAAAAUAAAUAUUGCAAAACUUGCCAAGUGAUUUCUUCAUUCAAAAUUUCUUAUUUAUAAAAACAUUUCACCAAGCGCUUAGCGUCUCUACAAUUUCAAAUAAGCAUUAUAAAUACCGGGUCAUUGCUUUUUUUGGAUUAACAAACGCAACAAGACAAAAUGAACUUGAAAUCAAUCAAAUAAUUAAUUACUUUAAUUUUAAAUGUAAUAUUAUUUAAUUCUUUACGACUACCAUCAAAAGUGAUUAAUGUAUUAGGGGCCUUACUUAUAUGGUACAUUUUAUCUUCAACAAGUUAGUGUUGUGUACAAGAUACUUUUGUCAUUAUCUGUUUAUCACAGGCGUGAUGCAAAUAGUGUGUUGCUAAUUUGUUUAUUGUAAGCAAUUAUUAAACAAGGAAAUGAUAGUUUGAAAACCUUAUACGGAUUAUAGUACCGCUAUGACCAUACAUACAUUUGUGUGUCCUGUAUAUGGGGCAUACAAUCUUAUAUUUGUAUUUGCACCUAUUUUGAAACAUCUAUUUUUAAGGUCUCAUUACAUUUCUAUGUCUGAUGCUCAAACGUUUCGGCAAGACCGAACUUUUUUCUUUUAUUUUCUUUUAUUGAGACAGGUCUAAAUUUUUAAAUAGACAGAUAAUGGUAAAUUAGACAGAAGUUUUUGUGAUCUUGCCAAUUUGAAGUCAUCUUGAAUUCACAAAAAGUAUUGUUAGGAAAAAGAUUAUUUAUUUAAUUUUGUUAUUCUUAGGUUGGUUUAUUGCUAUCGUGUAUCUUCUUUAUCUGAAUAUAUCUUAUAAAAUUAACUUUCCCGACUAUAAAAAGUAAACACGUGACUUAAAGUUGGAAUAAAUACCUAUGAACUGUUUGUAUUUGUUAUCAGGUGGUGUCAUCAAGUUGAUAAAAAAUGUAAAUUGUAAAUUAUUUGUAUUUGCAUCGGGUAGAAUAAAUAAUUAUUGUUCUUCAAUAUCUAUCAAUAAAUGCUAAAAAAUUCAAUUUCAUGAAUAUGUUCAUUUUGUUACAAUGGUUAAACCAGAAAGAUUAUUUUUGUUUAAAAUAAUAAAAAAAACACGUAAUGUCUUACAGAUAAGCAAUUAAUGCAAUAAUUUUUUAUUUUGAAUAACGGUAUUGAAUUAUAAACAAAAAGUAAUUUUAAGAUGCACUUCAGCAGUAGAUAUAAAUGUUUAUACCUGUUAAUUAUCAUUUUUAACUGACGAUGAGAUAUAACAAGUAGGAAUUUUAAUGUAUAAUAACAGAUGAUAACUAUAUUUUGUCAAGGUUGACGUAGGCUUGAUAGCUGUUUGCAUAAAAAGAGUUGAAGAACCGAAAGUUGAUAUGGUGUUAUUAUUGUAGAAAAAAUGAUGAUGUCGGAGUUGUUCACGAUAAGAUUCUAAUUAGCCGUUUAUAAAUUGAUUUAACUACCAAAAACUCAAUAAAGUUUAUUCAAAAUAGA